rnacentral:rRNA from 1 species
GCAAUGCGUGUGGCGACACACGUAGAUUAGCUUCUUAGAGGGACAUUUCGGGUCUACCGGAAGGAAGUUUGUGGCAAUAACAGGUCUGUGAUGCCCUUAGAUGUUCUGGGCCGCACGCGCGCUACACUGAUCGGUUCAGCAAGUUUUUUGGCAUUGCCAAAUUUCCUUGGCCGGAAGGUCUGGGUAAUCUUUUACAAGGUCGUCGUGAUGGGGCCAGAUUCUUGCAAUUAUUAAUCUCCAACGAGGAACC